UACAGAGGUCUCAAGCGUUGUUCGGAUUCAUUGGGCGUAAAGGGUGCGUAGGCGGCGCGGUAAGUCGGGUGUGAAAUCUCGGAGCUUAACUCCGAAACUGCAUUCGAUACUGCCGUGCUUGAGGACUGGAGAGGAGACUGGAAUUUACGGUGUAGCGGUGGAAUGCGCAGAUAUCAGGAAGAACACCGGUGGCGAAGGCGGCUCUCUGGGCCUUACCUGACGCUGAGGAGCGAAAGCGUGGGUAGCGAACAGG
rnacentral:rRNA from 1 species